rnacentral:rRNA from 1 species
GCGAACGGUAGGCAAAUCCGCCGUUCAUCAAGCCUGAGAGGUGAUGCGUAGCCGAUUGAGGCGAAUUCAGUGAUCCUAUGCUGCCGAGAAAAGCCUCUAGUGAGUUGUUACACGGCCCGUACCCCAAACCGACACAGGUGAUCAGGUAGAGAAUACUAAGGCGAUCGAGAGAAUCAUGGUUAAGGAACUCGGCAAAAUGCCCCCGUAACUUCGGGAGAAGGGGGACCUCCAUACCGUCAAGGCCCUUGCGGCCGGCAGCGGGAGGGGGUGGCACAAACCAGUGAGAAGCGACUGUUUACUAAAAACACAGGUCCGUGCGAAGUCGCAAGACGAUGUAUACGGACUGACGCCUGCCCGGUGCUGGAAGGUUAAGAGGACAAGUUAGCGUAUGCGAAGCUUUGAAUUGAAGCCCCAGUAAACGGCGGCCGUAACAAUAACGGUCCUAAGGUAGCGAAAUUCCUUGUCGGGUAAGUUCCGACCUGCACGAAUGGCAUAAUGAUGGCAGCGCUGUCUCCAGCAGAGACUCAGUGAAAUCGAAAUCGCAGUGAAGAUGCUGUGUACCCGCGGCUAGACGGAAAGACCCCGUGAACCUUUACUAUAGCUUUGCACUGGACUUUGAAUUUGCUUGUGUAGGAUAGGUGGGAGGCUUUGAAGCGGGGACGCCAGUUCUCGUGGAGCCAUCCUUGAAAUACCACCCUGGUUCAUUUGAGGUUCUAACCUUGGCCCGUUAUCCGGGUCGGGGACAGUGCAUGGUAGGCAGUUUGACUGGGGCGGUCUCCUCCCAAAGAGUAACGGAGGAGUUCGAAGGUUACCUAGGUCCGGUCGGAAAUCGGACUGAUAGUGCAAUGGCAAAAGGUAGCUUAACUGCGAGACCGACAAGUCGAGCAGGUGCGAAAGCAGGACAUAGUGAUCCGGUGGUUCUGUAUGGAAGGGCCAUCGCUCAACGGAUAAAAGGUACUCUGGGGAUAACAGGCUGAUUCCGCCCAAGAGUUCAUAUCGACGGCGGAGUUUGGCACCUCGAUG